rnacentral:rRNA from 1 species
UACCUGCAGCUCGAGUGGUAACCGCUAUUAUUGGGCCUAAAGCGUCCGUAGCCGGUUUGGUAAAUAUCUGGGUAAAUCGUGAGGCUUAACUUCACGAAUUUCGGAUAGACUGCCAGACUUGGGAUCGGGGGAGGUCAGAGGUACUCCAGGGGUAGCGGUGAAAUGUUGUAAUCCUUGGAGGACCACCGGUAGCGAAGGCGUCUGACUAGAACGAGUCCGACGGUGAGGGACGAAGCCCUGGGGCGCAAACCGGAUUAGAUACCCGAGUAGUCCAGGGUGUAAACGAUGUGGGCUUUGUAUUGGAGGUCCCACGUGGGCGUCCAGUGCAGAAGAGAAGUUGUUAAGCCCACCGCCUGGGAAGUACGGUCGCAAGGCUGAAACUUAAAGGAAUUGGCGGGGGAGCACAGCAACGGGAGGAGCGUGCGGUUU